GGCAGGCGGCUGCUUACCAUGCAGUCGAACGGCAGCACGGGUGCUUGCACCUGGUGGCGAGUGGCGAACGGGUGAGUAAUACAUCGGAACAUGUCCUGUAGUGGGGGAUAGCCCGGCGAAAGCCGGAUUAAUACCGCAUACGAUCUCUGGAUGAAAGCGGGGGACCUUCGGGCCUCGCGCUAUAGGGUUGGCCGAUGGCUGAUUAGCUAGUUGGUGGGGUAAAGGCCUACCAAGGCGACGAUCAGUAGCUGGUCUGAGAGGACGACCAGCCACACUGGGACUGAGACACGGCCCAGACUCCUACGGGAGGCAGCAGUGGGGAAUUUUGGACAAUGGGCGAAAGCCUGAUCCAGCAAUGCCGCGUGUGUGAAGAAGGCCUUCGGGUUGUAAAGCACUUUUGUCCGGAAAGAAAUCCUUGGCUCUAAUACAGUCGGGGGAUGACGGUACCGGAAGAAUAAGCACCGGCUAACUACGUGCCAGAC
rnacentral:rRNA from 1 species